UACGUAGGGUGCAAGCGUUGUCCGGAAUCAUUGGGCGUAAAGAGCUCGUAGGCGGCCGGUUGCGUCUGCUGUGAAAUCCCGGGGCUUAACCCCGGGCGUGCAGUGGAUACGGGCUGGCUGGAGGCAGGCAGGGGAGAAUGGAAUUCCCGGUGUAGCGGUGAAAUGCGCAGAUAUCGGGAGGAACACCGGUGGCGAAGGCGGUUCUCUGGGCCUGUGCUGACGCUGAGGAGCGAAAGCGUGGGGAGCGAACAGG
rnacentral:rRNA from 1 species